rnacentral:rRNA from 1 species
UACGUAGGGGGCAAGCGUUAUCCGGAUUUACUGGGUGUAAAGGGAGCGUAGACGGCCAGGCAAGUCUGAUGUGAAAACCCGGGGCUCAACCCCGGGACUGCAUUGGAAACUGCCGAACUAGAGUGUCGGAGAGGCAAGUGGAAUUCCUAGUGUAGCGGUGAAAUGCGUAGAUAUUAGGAGGAACACCAGUGGCGAAGGCGGCUUACUGGACCGUGACUGACGUUGAGGCUCGAAAGCGUGGGGAGCAAACAGG